GACGAACGCUGGCGGCGUGCUUAACACAUGCAAGUCGAACGGAAAGGCCCUGCUUUUGUGGUGUGCUCGAGUGGCGAACGGGUGAGUAACACGUGAGUAACCUGCCCUUGACUUUGGGAUAACUUCAGGAAACUGGGGCUAAUACCGGAUAGGAGCUCCUGCUGCAUGGUGGGGGUUGGAAAGUUUCGGCGGUUGGGGAUGGACUCGCGGCUUAUCAGCUUGUUGGUGGGGUAGUGGCUUACCAAGGCUUUGACGGGUAGCCGGCCCGGGAGGGUGACCGGCCACAUUGGGACUGAGAUACGGCCCAGACUCCUACGGGAGGCAGCAGUGGGGAAUAUUGCACAAUGGGCGGAAGCCUGAUGCAGCAACGCCGCGUGCGGGAUGACGGCCUUCGGGUUGUAAACCGCUUUCGCCUGUGACGAAGCGUGAGUGACGGUAAUGGGUAAAGAAGCACCGGCUAACUACGUG
rnacentral:rRNA from 1 species